rnacentral:pre_miRNA from 15 species
CGGCCAACGGGCAGCCACACACACACACACGACCGGAUCGAACCCGUUGCGAAUCGAACUUGGUUUGAGUUCGAGCAGCGGGUCGAUCCGAGCCAUAGCCCAGCC